UUCAAUGUUUGUUUUGUGAUUUUGCAACUCUGGAGAUAUGGACUAAAUAGAGAUCUCUAGAAAACAAAUGCAGAUAACCCAAUACCCCUGACGAACAACUGUAAGUAACAUGUAUGAAAGCGUGCAUGCUUAGAGCUUCAUGAAACCAAGCUCUGCUUUGAAAGAAUUUGUAAUUAUUUAGACCACUAAAUCGUGUUUGGCCUUGUGCUUAAUUUACGUUUUACGGAAAUGUGUAUUCAGAUAUGACUUCAUCAAAUUUGGCCAAAAGAACUGAAAACCUCGAGUUGACAAUUAAUCCUGUCAGGCCAGAAGAGUUAACUUUUAUAUAUAUGUGUAUAUGAAUGCUGGAAUAAGACCCACCUACAGCAGAGGCCUCAUUACUAAGGAGUGUGUCGUCCUCAGGCGAGUCAAUCCACUGAGCUGAAGAAACAGGAGUAUUCCUGGGAGCAGACAGACAGCAGUCCUAAUGAACUCAACGGUGUGCUCUGCAGUGCUUUUGACCUACCUGCCUGCCUGCCAAAACCACCUUCCGGAUACCUGCCACUCUACUUGUUUUGGACAAUAAAACGACCCCUUUAAACCAG